rnacentral:rRNA from 1 species
AACGAACGCUGGCGGCAUGCCUAACACAUGCAAGUCGAACGAUGCUUUCGGGCUUAGUGGCGCACGGGUGCGUAACGCGUGGGAAUCUGCCCUUGGGUUCGGAAUAACAGUGAGAAAUUGCUGCUAAUACCGGAUGAUGUCUUCGGACCAAAGAUUUAUCGCCCAGGGAUGAGCCCGCGUAGGAUUAGCUAGUUGGUGGGGUAAUGGCCUACCAAGGCGACGAUCCUUAGCUGGUCUGAGAGGAUGAUCAGCCACACUGGGACUGAGACACGGCCCAGACUCCUACGGGAGGGAGCAGUGGGGAAUAUUGGACAAUGGGCGCAAGCCUGAUCCAGCAACGCCGCGUGAGUGAGGCAGGCCUUAGGGUUGUAAAGCUCUUUUACCCGGGAUGAUAAUGACAGUACCGGGAGAAUAAGCUCCGGCUAACUCCGUG